UCCUACGGGACGCAGCAGUGGGGAAUAUUGCGCAAUGGGGGAAACCCUGACGCAGCAACGCCGCGUGAGCGAUGAAGGUUUUCGGAUUGUAAAGCUCUGUCUUUGGGGAAGAUAAUGACGGUACCCAAGGAGGAAGCCCCGGCUAACUACGUGCCAGCAGCCGCGGUAAUACGUAGGGGGCAAGCGUUGUCCGGAUUCACUGGGCGUAAAGAGCACGUAGGCGGUUAUUUAAGUCAGGGGUGAAAGUUUUCGGCUCAACCGGAAAAUUGCACUUUAAACUGGUUAACUUGCGAAUCGGAGAGGUA
rnacentral:rRNA from 1 species